GCGGGGGAGACACCGGCGCCGGGGUCGGCGGCGGCAUCGUCGGGGGCGGGGACACCGGGGCCACGGGCGCGGGCAUCGGGGUGGCCGCCGGGGCCUGGGCCGCGGUGGCGGCGAACAGCAUGGUCAGGGCCAGAGCCACGAGCUGGAUGCGCGCCAUUGCAGGAGUGAAGAGGAGAGCUUGAGCUUGAGCUUGGGGUGGCUUCUGCUUCUGCUUGAGGUGGUGCUGGUGGUGGUGUGUACUGUAAUGGUGUCCGAGACGGUAUUGGGCCGGGAGAUUAUAAAGGGGCCGCGGACGGGGCCACGACGACGAAUUACAAGAUGUGUCAGGGGCCUUCCUGCUAAUUUGCGCGCCGGGUAGCCGUCCGAUCGACAUCCAACAGCUGGUCCGGGUGGAAAGCUUCAACUCUUUUUUCUUCUCCGAACUUCUGACUUCUGAACAGCAAGCAAGCAAGUUUUUUUCCAAACGAUCAGAAAAAAUCUAGUUCAAUCCCAACAGCUGGCGGACAUAAUUUCUUUCUUUUGGUUCAUGGAAAAUUCUCCCGCGAUCGCCUUGCCUAAUUCUGUUUCUCGUUAUGGUUCACGCGUGGUUCUGGUCGACGGUGAGCUGGGUUUCUCUUCCUGUUUUUGCCUUGCCUAAUUUUGUCUUCUGGACGAUCAAUGCAAAAUGGCAAGUAGCUAGUGAGCCAAUUGGCCCACGCGUUCGCAAUGUCCCUUACAACCACAAUAAAAUGUCAGACUUCAAAACAAUAUUACUUCGAAAGUCAAGGUCACGCGUAAAUGUGAAAUGGCAAGUUUCUUUUAGGGUUGUGUGAAAUACCAAGUGGUAUUUGCUAAUGAGCCGAUUGGCUCACGCGUUUGCGGAGUUAUUGCAUCAAGUUUUUCUUUACAAGGAUGAUAAAAAGUCAGAUUUCAAAAACAAAGUUACUUCCAAAGUCAAAGUGCUUUUUCUCGCAAUUACAUGGGCGACGCACGCGCAGACACGCAUGCGCCAACGUGAAAUAUCAAGAAGUAUUUGCUAGUGAGCCGAUUGGCUCACACGAUUGCGAUGUUUGUGCAUCGAGUUUUCUUUACAAGGAUAAUGGAGGUCCAUUUUCAACAGCAAGGUUGCCUCCAAGGUCAAGGUGCUUCUUUAUGCAGUUACAACACACACGUAGACACGCACACACGCACUCAGAACCUUAUAAAUUUGGAGAAUUUUUUUCCUUUUCUUUUUGAGGCAACCUUGCUGUUGAAAACUAAAGUUGAGAGAGAGUUUAGUCCCACCCUGAAAGUUGAGAGUUGCACCUCUUUAUAAAGUGAGCUCUUCUACCACUUGUAUGAGCAUGAGAAGAGGAGACCCAAUUCUCACAGACUACGACGUUAAUAGUCAAAUUCAUAUAGGUGUGUUCCUUAGAAGAUGUUCUGCAGGACAACAUCUCUGCUUACCCGAAUAAGCCACUUGGAACACAUUAAGAUAAGUAUCAACCUGCCAUGCAGAUCAAGAGAGUAUUGCAUCUUCACGGAGUGGGAUAAUUAAUAUAGGGAUACUCUCCUCCCAGCUGACCAACAGCUUGUCUCCCACUUCUACUUCACGGGAUCUCCGAUCAUAUAGAGUGGUUUACCACUAUGGACAACUCAUGCGGUGGGUCUCAAACCCAUCUCUAUCGAUGCAUCAUCUAUCACAUUACAUGAUAGACCAUUUGUGAAGGGAUCUGCCAAGUUUUUCGACGUUUGGAUAUAAUCCAACGUAAUAAAUCCGGAGUUCCUCAAUUUUCUGACAGAUUUUAGUCUCCUCUUCACAUGCCUUGAGGACUUCAUAUUGUCCUUAGAACUGUUUAUCUUGACGAUCACAGUUUGAUUAUCACAGUUCAUCAGGAUAGGGGGGAUUGGUUUUUCAACCAUAGGUAAGUCCAUCAAGAGUUCACGAAGCCACUCUGCUUCAACAGUGGCAGUGUCUAAUGCUGUGAGUUCUGCUUCCAUAGUUGACCUUGUUAAGAUGGUCUGCUCGCAAGACUUCCAGGAAACAGCACCACCACCAAGUGUAAAAACAUAACCACUUGUGGCCUUAAUCUCAUUAGCAUCAGAUAUCCAGUUUGAGUCACUAUAACCCUCCAGUACCCUUGGAUACCCGGUGUAGUGAAUCCCAUAGCUCGCGGUGCCUUUCAAAUAGCGCAUAACUCUCUUAAGCACAUGCCAAUGAUCAUCUCCCAGUUUUGACACAAACCAACUCAGCUUGCUCACAGCAAAAGAGAUGUCAGGCCUCGUGGCACUCGCCAAAUACAUAAGCGAGCCAAUAAUCUGAGAAUACCUCAGUUGAUCUCUAGCAAUCCGUCGAUUCUUUCGAAGCAACACACUAGCAUCAUAUGGAGUUGGAGAAGGCGUGCAGUCGCUAUACCCAAAACAACUCAAGACCUUUUCCACAUAAUGAGACUGAAGCAGUGUGAUCCCACCAUUCUCAUCUCUCAACAGCUUGAUGUUUAAGUUAACAUCAGUUACUCCUAGAUCCUUCAUCUCAAAACAGCGAGAUAAGAAAUCCUUAACCUCCUUGAUUAAAUCAAGUUUGGUUCCAAAGAUCAAUAUGUCGUCGACAUACAGACAAAGAAUAACUCCUUCGCCCCCAUGCUACGUCUCGAGCUAGCGUUGGUUUUCUCCGAAGAGGAGGGGGUGAUGCAGCACAGUAGCGUAAGUAUUUCCCUCAGUUUUUGAGAACCAAGGUAUCAAUCCAGUAGGAGGUCACGCGCAAGUCCCUCGUACCAACACAAAACGGUAGCAACUCGCAACCAACGCUUAGGGGUUGUCAAUCCCUUCACGGUCACUUACGAGAGUGAGAUCUGAUAGAGAUAAUAUUUUUGGUAUUUUUGGUAUAAAGAUGCAAAGUAAAAAGUAAAAGCAAAACAAGUAAAAUAAAUUAAUGGAGAUUGAUAUGAUGAGAAUAGACCCGGGGGCCAUAGGUUUCACUAGUGGCUUCUCUCAAGAGCAUAGAUAUUCUACGGUGGGUGAACAAAUUACUGUUGAGCAAUUGAUAGAAUUGAGCAUAGUUAUGAGGUUAUCUAGUUAUGAUCAUGUAUAUAGGCAUCACGUCCGUGACAACUAGACCGACUCCUGCCUGCAUCUACUACUAUUACUCCACUCAUCGACCGCUAUCCAGCAUGCAUCUAGAAUAUUAAGUUAAAAACAGAGUAACACCUUAAGCAAGAUGACAUGAUGUAGAGGAAUAAAUUCAUGCAAUAUGAUAAAUACCCCAUCUUGUUAUCCUCGAUGGCAACAAUACAAUACGUGCCUUGCAACUCUUUCUGUCACUGAGUAAGGACACCGCAAGAUUGAACCCAAAGCUAAGCACUUCUCCCAUUGCAAGAACUACCAAUCUAGUUGACCAAACCAAACGGAUAAUUCGAAGAGACUUGCAAAGAUAACUCAAUUAUACAUAAAAGAAUUCAGAGAAGAUUCAAAUAUUAUUCAUAGAUAAGUUGGAUCAUAAACCCACAAUUCAUUGGUCUUAACAAACACACCGCAAAAAGAAGAUUACAUCGAAUAGAUCUCCACGAGAGAGGGGGAGAACAUUGUAUUGAGAUCCAAAAAGAGAGAAGAAGCCAUUUAGCUACUAGCUAUGGACCCGAAGGUCUGAAGUAAACUACUCACACUUCAUCGGAAGGGCUAUAGUGUUGAUGUAGAAGCCCUCCGUGAUGGAUGCCCUCUCUGGCAGAGCUCCGGAACAGGCCCCAAAAUGGGAUCUCGUGGAUACAGGAAGUUGCGGCGGUGGAAUUAGGUUUUUGGCUCCCUCCCUGGUCUAAUGGGGGUAUGUAGGUAUAUAUAGGAGGAAGGAGCACGUCGGUGGAGCUCCGAGGGGCCCACGAGGCAGGGGCGCACCCAGGGGGCGCCCUCCACCCUCGUGACCUCCCCGGAAACUUCUUGGAGUAGGGUCCAAGUCUACUGAAUCACGUUCGGUGAGAAGAUCACGUUCCCGAAGGUUUCAUUCCGUUUGGACUCCGUUUGAUAUUCUGUUUCCUAGAAAUACUGAAAUAGGAAAAAAACAGCAAUUCUGGGCCGGGCCUCCGGUUAAUAGGUUAGUCUUAAAAAUAAUAUAAAAGUGAAAAAUAAAACCCAAUAUAGUCCAAAAUAGUAGAUAAAGUAGCAUGGAACAAUCAAAAAUUAAAGAUACGUUGGAGACGUAUCAGACAUCCCCAAGCUUAAUUCCUGCUCGUCCUCGAGUAGGUAAAUGAUAAAAAGAGAAUUUUUGAUGCGGAGUGAUACUUUGGCAUAAUUUCAAUGUAAAUCUUCUUAAUCAUGGUAUGAAUAUUCAGAUCCGAAAGGUUCAAGACAAAAGUUCAUAUUGACAUAAAAAUGAUAAUACUUCAAGCAUACUAAUCAAACAAUUAUGUCAUCUCAAAAUAACAUGGCCAAAGGAAGUUCAUCCCUACAAAAUCAUAUAGUUAGGCUAUGCUUCAUUUUCGUCACACAAAGAUGUUCCCAACUUUUAUACCCCCGAUGACAAGCCAAGCAAUUGUUUCAUACUCAAAUAAUCUCAAACUUUUUCAACCUUCACGCAAUACAUGAGCGCGAGCCAUGGACAUAGCACUAUGGGUGGUAUAGAAUAUGAUGAUGGGGAUUGUGUGGAGAAGACAAAAAAGGAGAAAGUCUCACAUCAACGAGGCUAAUCAAUGAGCUAUGGAGAUGCCCAUCAAUUGAUGUUAAUGCAAGGAGUAGGGAUUGCCAUGCAACGGAUGCACUAGAGCUAAGAAUGCUCAACAAAAGAAAACUAGUGGGUGUGCAUCCAACUUGCUUGCUCAUGAAGACCUAGGGCAUUUUGAGGAAGCUCAUCGUUGGAAUAUACAAGCCAAGUUCUAUAAUGAAAAAUUCCCACUAGUAUGAAUAAGACAACUUAUGAGACUCACUAUAUGAAAAUCAUGGUGCUACUUUGAAGCACAAUAUAUGAGACUCACUACAUGAAGAACAAGGUGCUACUUUGAAGCACAAGUGUGGAAAAAAGAGAUAGUAGCAUUGCCCUUUUUAUUUUCUCUUUUUUGGGGGGCCUUUCUUUUUUUUUUUGGCCUUUCUCUCUCUUUUUUUGAUUGGGCAAUGCUCUAAUAAUGAUGAUCAUCACACUUCUAUUGAUUACAACAUAAUGAUUACAACUCGAUACUAGAACAAGAUAUGACUCUAUAUGAAUGCCUCCGGUGGUGUACCAUGAUGGUGCAAUGAAUCAAGAGUGACAUGUAUGAAAAAUAAUGCAUGGUGGCUUUGCCACAAAUACGAUGUCAACUACAAGAUCAUGCAAUGACAAUAUGACAAAAGUAAAGCAUGUCAUGAUGAUGAUGAUGAUGAUGGAAGUUGCAUGGCAAUAUAUCUCGGAAUGGCUAUGGAAAUGCCAUGAUAGAUAGGUAUGGUGGCUGUUUUGAGGAAGGUAUAGGGAGGUUUAUGUGUGAAAGAGCGUGUCAUAUCAUGGGGUUUGGAUGCACCGGCGAAGUUUGCACCAACUCUCAAUGUGAGAAAGGGUAAUGCACGGUACCGAAGAGGCUAGCAAAUGGCGGAAAGGUAAAAGUGCGUAUAAUCCAUGGACUCAACAUUAGUCAAAAGAACUCAUAUACUUAUUACAAAAAUUUAGAAGUCAUCAAAAAUCAAGCACUACGCGCAUGCUCCUAGGGGGAUAGAUUGGUAGGAAAAGACCAUCGCUCGUCCCCGACCGCCACUCAUAAGGAUGCACAAGCCAGGUACACUUCAUGCUUUAAAUUUGUUACACAAUUUUAACCAUACGUGCAUGCUACGGGACUUGCUAACUUCAACACAAGUAUUUCUCAGAUUCACAACUACUCAACUAGCACGACUAUGAUAUUAUCACCUCCAUAUCUCAAAACAAUUAUCAAGUAUCAAACUUAUCUUAGUAUUCAACCCACUAAAAAGAAAGUUUCACAUAUCUUGAAUACCAAGUAUAUUAACAUUAAGCAAAUUACCAUGCUAUUAACGACUCUCAAAAUAAUCUAAGUGAAGCAUGAGAGAUCAAGUUUCUUUAAAACAAACCACCACCGUGCUCUAAAAGAUCUAAGUGAAGCACUAGAGCAAAAAUUAUCAUGCUCAAAAAGAUAUAAGUGAAGCACAUAGAGUAAACUAUCAAGCUCAAAAGAUAUAAGUGAAGCACAUAGAGUAUUCUACCAAAUUUCAAUUCAUGCAUGGCUCUCUCAAAAGGUGUGUACAGCAAGGAUGAUUGUGGUAGACUAACAAGAAAAGACACAAAUAAUACAAGAUGCUCCAAGCAAAACACAUAUCAUGUGGUGAAUAAAAAUAUUGCUCCAAGUAAAUUACCGAUGGAAGUGGACGAAAGAGGGGAUGCCUUCCGGGGCAUCCCCAAGCUUUGACUUUUUGGUAUCGUUGGAUUAUCUUGGGGGUGCCAUGGGCAUCCCAAGCUUAGGCUCUUGCCACUCCUUGUUCCAUAAUCCAUCAAAAGAAUUCACCCAAAACUUGAAAACUUCACAACACAAAACUCAAUAGAAAUCUCGUGAGCUCCGUUAGAGAAAGAAAAUAAAAGACUACUUUAAGGUACUGUAGUGUACUUGUUCUUUAUUUGUAUUGGUGUUAAACCUACUGUAUUCCAAUUUCUCUAUGGUUUAUAAACUAUUUUACUAGCCAUAGAUUUAUCAAAAUAAGCAAAUAACACACGCAAAACAGAAUCUGUCAAAAACAGAACAGUCUGUAGUAAUCUGUUACUAACGCAAACUUCUAGAACCCAAAAAAUUCUACCAAAAUUAGACGACCUGGGCAAUUUGUUUAUUGAUCAGCAGCAAUUGGAAUCACUAUUUUAUCACGUUCUGGUGAUUUUUGACAAUUCGGGCACUGAGCGCAAAGAUUCUGGAAAUUACAGCAAGAUCAAAUAACUAUCUUUCAAGAAGAUCUAAUAGGUUUAACUUGGCACAAACACUAAUUAAAAGAUAAAACCACAUCUAAACAGAAUAUAAAUGGAUUAUUUAUUCCUAAACAGAACCAAAAACAAAAAAUACAAAAUAAAAUUGGGUUGCCUCCCAACAAGCGCUAUCGUUUAACGCCCCUAGCUAGGCAUAAAAGCAAGGAUAGGUCUAGGUAUUGCCAUCUUUGGUAGGCAAUUCUUCAAUGAGGCAUCCACCUCCUUUAGAAUUUUCUUUCUUUCUAGUGAUUAUCAAACUUUUAGGCAUAAGAUCGAAAAAUUCAUCCGUGGCAAAUGGUUCCUUAAUGAGUGUAAAAAGAUCGGGGUGAAUACUUAUAGAUUUAAGAUCCGCAUUUUCCUUACUAGAUGAUUCACCCUUAUUUUUAGGAACAUACAUAAACUUGGCAAUUUUAGUGGGAGGACUAGGAGUAAUUUUUACGGAAGAAAAAGCAGUUCCCAAGUUGGUAAUGAUACCCUCAAGUUUAUCGAUUCGAGUAGAGUCUAGAUUUAUUUUUUUCAUUAACAAUGGGUUCCUUCUCCUUAAUAUUUUUCAAAGUCACUCCUACCUUAGAUCCAUAUUGAGUAAUUUGAUUAUGAAUCUUUUUAUCUAGAUUUUCAAUGGAUUCAAUGGUAGCAACUUUGUUUUCAAUAAUUUCAAGCAUUUGCAUAACAUGCUCCAAGGUUAACACAGUUCCAUUAACCAAAAGGGGAGGUGAGCCAAAUAAAUCUAUUAAAGCAUUAUAGGAAUCAAAAGUAUGGCUACCCAAAAAAUUCCCUCCGGUAAUGGUAUCAAGGAUAUAUCUAUACCAAGGAUUAGCACCUACAUAAAAAUUGUGAAGAAGGACUGAAGUAGAUUGCUUUCUGGUAGAUCUAUUUUGAGCAUUGCAAAUUCUAUACCAAGCAUCUUUUAGAUUUUCUCCCUCCCUUUGUUUAAAAUUUAGCACUUCAUUCUCGGGAGAUAACGGAGAAGAUAAGGAAUUCGACAUAGCGACAGGUAAGCAAACUAACACACGAGCAAACAAAAGGCAAAGGGAAAGAGAGGGCGAAUAAAGCGGCAAAGGUGAAGUGGGGGAGAGGAAAACGAGAGGCAAAUGGCAAAUAAUGUAAUGCGAGAGAUAGAGAUUGUGAUGGGUACUUGGUAUGUUGACUUUUGCGUAGGCUUCCCCGGCAACGGCGCCAGAAAUGGCUCGUUGACGGGAGAGUAAAUCUUGACUUGACUUGGCAUAGGCCUCCCCGGCAACGGCGCCAGAAAUGGCUCGUUGACGGGAGAGUAAAUCUUGACUUGACUUGGCGUAGGCCUCCCCGACAACGGCGCCAGAAAUCCUUCUUGCUAUGUCUCGAGCUAGCGUUGGUUUUCCCCGAAGAAGAGGGGGUGAUGCAGCACAGUAGCGUAAGUAUUUCCCUCAGUUUUUGAGAACCAAGGUAUCAAUCCAGUAGGAGGUCACGCGCAAGUCCCUCGUACCUGCACAAAACGGUAGCAACUCGCAACCAACACUUAGGGGUUGUCAAUCCCUUCAUGGUCACUUACGAGAGUGAGAUCUGAUAGAGAUAAUUUUUUUGGUAUUUUUGGUAUAAAGAUGCAAAGUAAAAAGUAAAAGCAAAACAAGUAAAAUAAAGUAAUGGAGAUUGAUAUGAUGAGAAUAGACCCGGGGGCCAUAGGUUUCACUAGUGGCUUCUCUCAAGAGCAUAGAUAUUCUACGGUGGGUGAACAAAUUACUGUUGAGCAAUUGAUAGAAUUGAGCAUAGUUAUGAGGUUAUCUAGGUAUGAUCAUGUAUAUAGGCAUCACGUCCGUGACAAGUAGACCGACUCCUGCCUGCAUCUACUACUAUUACUCCACUCAUCGACUGCUAUCCAGCAUGCAUCUAGAGUAUUAAGUUAAAAACAGAGUAACGCCUUAAGCAAGAUGACAUGAUGUAGAGGAAUAAAUUCAUGCAAUAUGAUAAAUACCCCAUCUUGUUAUCCUUGAUGGCAACAAUAUAAUACGUGCCUUGCAACUCUUUCUGUCACUGAGUAAGGACACCGCAAGAUUGAACCCAAAGCUAAGCACUUCUCCUAUUGCAAGAACUACCAAUCUAGUUGGCCAAACCAAACGGAUAAUUCGAAGAGACUUGCAAAGAUAACUCAAUCAUACAUAAAAGAAUUCAGAGAAGAUUCAAAUAUUAUUCAUAGAUAAGUUGGAUCAUAAACCCACAAUUCAUCGGUCUCAACAAACACACCGCAAAAAGAAGAUUACAUCGAAUAGAUCUCCACGAGAGAGGGGGAGAAUAUUGUAUUGAGAUCCAAAAAGAGAGAAAAGGCCAUCUAGCUACUAGCUAUGGACCCUAAGGUCUGAAGUAAACUACUCACACUUCAUCGGAAGGGCUAUGGUGUUGAUGUAGAAGCCCUCCAUGAUGGAUGCCCUCUCCGGCGGAGCUCCGGAACAGGCCCCAAGAUGGGAUCUCGUGGAUACAGGAAGUUGCGGUGGUGGAAUUAGGUUUUUGGCUCCCUCCCUGGUCUAAUGGGGGUACGUAGGUAUAUAUAGGAGGAAGGAGCACGUCGGUGGAGCUCCGAGGGGCCCAUGAGGUAGGGGGGCGCGCCCAGGGGGGCGCCCUCCACCCUCGUGACCUCCCCGGUAACUUUUUGGAGUAGGGUCCAAGUCUCCUGGAUCAUGUUUGGUGAGAAGAUCACGUUCCCGAAGGUUUCAUUCCGUUUGGACUCCGUUUGAUAUUCUGUUUCCUCGAAAUACUGAAAUAGGGAAAAAACAGCAAUUCUGGGCUGGGCCUCCAGUUAAUAGGUUAGUCCCAAAAAUAAUAUAAAAGUGGAAAAUAAAGCCCAAUAUAGUCCAAAACAGUAGAUAAAAUAGCAUGGAGCAAUCAAAAAUUAUAGAUACGUUGGAGACGUAUCACCCCACCAUAGCGAUAGUACACGCACUUGUCACCAUCGUUUACUACAAAGCCGGCAGCAGUUAAUGUUCUUUCGAACUUCUCAUGCCACUCCUUAGGAGCUUGUUUAAGGCCAUAUAAAGACUUUAAUAACUUGCACACCUUUCCUUCUUGACCAGGUACUACAAAACCAUCUGGCUGAUCCAUGUAAAUUUCCUCCUUCAACUCUCCAUUGAGGAAAGCCGUCUUAACGUCCAUUUGAUGAACGAGAAGACCAUGUGAGGCAGCCAGUGAUAGUAGCACCCGAAUUGUGGUCAGUCUAGCCACGGGUGAGUAAGUAUCAAAGAAGUCUUCACCUUCUUCCUGGGUAUAACCCUUGGCCACAAGCCGUGCCUUAUACUUUUCAAUCAUACCAUCAGGUGUAAGCUUCUUCUUGAACACCCACUUACAUCCUACAGGUUUGCACCCAUAAGGACGGUCAGUGAUCUCCCAGGUACCGUUAGCUAAGAUGGAAUCCAUCUCGCUAUGUAUAGCUUCCUUCCAGUAGUCAGCAUCAGGAGAUGCAUAGGCUUCUGAAAUAGUCCUGGGUGUGUCAUCCACGAGGUACACAAUGAAAUCAUCACCAAAAGACUUUGUAGUGCUCUGUCUCUUACUCCUCAUAGGAGUUCCAUUGUUACCCUCAACAGGAUUCUCAACGUGUUCCAUCGCAAUGGUGGGUUCAGGAAUUACAGUGAAUUCCUCACUAGAUGGAGUAGGUAUCUCCUGAUUUGAUGAACUCGACAUAUCCUUCAUAGGAAAUAUGUCCUCAAAGAAAAUUGCAUCAUUUGAUUCCAUAAUCGUACCAACAUGCAUGUCGGAUACCUCAGAUUUUAUUAUCAAAAAUCUAUAGCCGAUGCUAUGAAAAGCAUAGCCCAGAAGAACACAAUUCACGGUUUUUGGUCCAAGCUUGCGCUUCUUGGGAAUUGGUAUAUUGACUUUCGCCAAACAACCCCAAGUACGUAGGUAAGAGAGUUUCAACAUUUUCCUUUCCCAUUCCUCAAAUGGAGUCAUGGUCUUAUGCUUUGUAGGAACUCGGUUUAGGACAUGACACGCAGUCAUUAGCGCCUCCCCCCACAAUUCCUUGGAUAGACCCGAAGUGUCUAACAUGGUGUUAACCAUAUCAGUUAGAGUUCGGUUAUUUCUUUCGACUACCCCAUUUGACUGGGGUGAGUAGGGAGGCGUCCUCUCAUGGAUUAUACCAUGUUCCACAUAAAACAGAUCAAAUUCAUUGGAAAAAUACUCUCCACCACGAUCGGACCUAAGCCGUUUAAUUUUUCGAUCAAGUUGGUUCUCUACCUCAGCUUUAUAGUUUUUAAAGAAAGUCAAAGCCUCAUCUUUUGAUUUCAGAAGAUACACAUAACAAUAUCUAGUGGAGUCAUCAAUCAACGUCAUGAAGUAUCUCUUUCCACCUUUUGUCAACACGCCAUUCAUCUCACAAAGAUCAGAAUGUAUAAGCUCUAGUGGCGCCAAGUCUCUUGCCUCUGCAGUCUUAUGGGACUUGCGAAGUUGCUUAGUUUGCACACAUACUUGGCACUUCGAGCCUUUGACAGUAGAGAUUUUCGGAAUUAAAUUCAUAUUGGCUAACCGCGUCAUGCAACCAAAGUUAAUAUGACAGAGUCGUGAAUGCCAAAUAUCAGACUCAUUAUUGUGGCAAACAUUAUUAAUAACUUUAGUGCAAAUAUCUGACAAAGAUAGGCGGAACAAGCCUCCGCACUCAUAGCCUUUUUCAACAAAUUGUCCACACUUAGAAAUUACAACUUUAUUCGAUUCGAAAACCAAUUUAAAACCAUCUCGACAUAAACGGGAACCGCUAACGAGAUUUUUAUUGAUGGACGGCACAUGAUGAACGUUCUUCAGACGCACAGUCUUCCCCGAAGUAAACUUCAGAUCGACCGUACCAACACCUCGAACGAUGGCAUGUGACCCGUUCCCCAUCAGCACGGGUGAAGUCCCUGUUGCCUGAUAAGAAGAAAAUAUGAAGGCGUCAGCACAAACAUGUACAUUGGCACCGGUGUCAAUUAACCAAUCAGGGGAUUGAAAUACUGAAAGGAUGGUAGGAAAAAUACCGUACCCUGAUUCCUUCAUAUCAGUAUCACCGAUGACAACAUUAGCGGACUUGCCGCUCUUCUCAUGUUCGCGCUCCUCAAAACGGUUAGGACACUUCGGAGCCCAGUGAUUAGGAUCACCGCAGACAUGCCAAAGUCCCUUCCCCUUUUUAUGAGAAUUCUUCUUGAAGUUGGUAGAAUAUGAUGGCUUGUUCUUUAUAUCAAACUUGUCUUUACCCUGAGUUUUGUUCUUAUUGUUUUUGAACUUGUUGGGCUGGGAGUUUUUCUUCUGUACCAUGUGGGCACUAGAACCUUCCUCAGCAACGCGAGCACGUGUGUCCUUUGCUCUCGCCUUCUCUUCAACAUCAAGACUACCAAUGAGAUCCGCAACGGAAAACUCCUGUCUCUUGUGUUUCAGGGGAGUAGCAAAAUUCUUCCACGAAGGUGGAAGCUUGGCAAUGAUGCCUCCGGCAACACACACUUGAAGUACUCAAGUUCUUUUGCGAGCGACUGUAUCUCAUGAGCCUGCUGUACAACAGGGCGCUCAUCAGUCAUCUUGUAGUCAUAGAAUUGCUCCAUGACGUACAACUCGUUGCCGGCGUCCGAGGCACCAAACUUGGCCUCGAGCGCAGCCCACAUGUCCUUGCCGUUGUCAAACGACAUAUACGAAUCCACAAUGGAGUCAUCAAGAACACUCAGAAGAGCGCCUUUAAAGAGGGUAUCGAUCUUCUCAAAAGCUUCCAGCUGUGCUGGAUUAAGAUCGCCCUCAGGCUUGCCCUUGAUGGCAUCAUAGCAGCCCAUGGUCUGAAACCAGUAGACUGCUCUCGUGUGCCACCUCUUAUAUUGCGGCCCCUUAAAAGCAGGCGGCUUCAGAUGCGCAGUAAAACCACUCGGAGUAAAUUGCCUAUAAUCAGGUUUUUGGAUUGUUGGAAAUAUGAGCAAAUUACUACGAGAUUUAAUCCGAAUAAACAAAAGAUAAAUCAUGACCACAACAGCAGAGAUUAAACUAAUCAUGCGAACUAGCAUAGCAGAUGAACAUAUCACAUCUAGGACACAUACUAGAAGCAUGAAUUCUACCACGAUCUUGAACAUGAAGGAUAGAAUCACAUACGGUGCAGCGGGUGCAGCACCGCCGGUGUUGACGUUGUCGCCCAUGUCGUCGAGGACGAGGUUGCCGAGGUCGGGGAAGAAGUCGUCGUUCGCGAAGUCGUCGCUACCAGCAGUCGCGCGAGUGCGCUCCCCAAAAACCUGAUCGCCCCUCUCCCGUACAGGAUCAUGAGAGGCGGGGUUCCGGAGGCCUGUUGUCCCUUCUCGCGGUGCACGCCGGAAGGAGGGAUGGAGAAGACUUGCUUGGUGGCGCAAUGAUCUGGAACGGUGUGGUGAGAAACCAUACGAAGCGGCGGCGGCUAGGGUAGACGUCUGCCUGACUAUAUAGUGCGGGUCGGGUAGGUCGUGGGAGUAAACCCCACGUCCGAGUCGUCACGAUCCAAAAGAAUCGAAAACAGUUCAGUAAUUAACGCAUCCGUUAAUUAUCAAUUAAUGACUCAUUAAUUUUCCCAUGCAGCAAAAAUAUAGACAACGUGCAUAGCUCUGCCCUCGGCUCGGCUCAAUCCCGCAACCCGCGGCGCGGCGCGGCGCGGCGCGUCGUGACGAGGCGUGGCGAGGCGAGCGAGUGUAAGUCUCCUCUUCUCAUGCUCAUACAAGUGGUAGAAGAGCUCACCUUAUAAAGAGGUGCAACUCUCUCUCAACUUCUGGGGUGGGACUAAACUUUAACCUCACUCACUCCGUUCACAUGUGUGCAUGAAUGGUCCAAGAGAAUUUCAGAAUUUUAGUUGGGCUUUGAGCCAAAGUCCUACUAGCAAAAUUCCAACAGGUUCAGCCCAUCAACCUGUGAAAGUAAACACCUGUGACUUUGCAAUGUUUAGUUGAGGUAAGGGUAUCCUCAAAAAAAAAAAAGUUGAGGUAAGGGUGGAGAAAAUAACCAUCGAGCGAAUGUGACCACUCAUUCCAAGAUGGUUUACUGAUUUACGUGCGUGGUUCUUCCUGUACGAUCGGACCGAAUGUGCGAGUGUCAAAUCAUCAAACAUCGUCAUCUUUCUCACCGAAAGAUCGAUAGCCCACACUGUCUCGUCAUUUCGUGAUGUACGUCGUUGCCUGAUAUACAUCUUUUUUUUCUGCUUAGUAAAUAAAACUUACAAAACUAACAAGAGGUUGUACAUUGUGUAUGUGUGCACGCGCGCAUCGUGGGGCACUUAUAAGAAGAACAUCUUUCUAGAAAAAUAGACAUAAAAUAGAGCUCCUUGUUUUGAUCAUUUGAUGAUAGCAUCAACCAGCUAAGAUUAGUUGCCUACAUAAUUAAUACCUUCGGAAUGAAAUGAUUGGUUUGGUGCUGAUCAAUGGAGCGCACGUUGUCCUCACCAAUUCUAUAUAGGGCCGUUGGUAGAUGAUUGGGUUGCUAUCAGCGUUUCUCCAUCAAAAUUUUGGGUUUACGACAGAACGAAACGAGAAAGAAAUCACACUAACACAGACGGUUGGAAAAACAAGAGAAAUUGCUACUAUCAAGCUAUCUCUUCCAUGUGUUCUUCAUGCACAUUGUUUGGCUUGCAAGUUUUGGUCUCCUGCCUGUUAUGUUAGCUAGAAGGAGAUAAAGUUCUUGGUCCCCUACGAAAAAUAGGUUUACUUGGGAGGACAAUGGUGUACAGCAUAACCCAAACCUUUCUCAAAACCUAAAGCUCCACACGUUCACAUUGCUCCAUUUGGUCCAUAGGGUAUACCUAACGUGCCAAAUCUUUCCAAAACCUAAUGUGCCGUUCCUUUCCUUCUCAAAAUGUCCACCUUGUUCCAUAAGAUAAAUCCAAAGAUUUCCAACCUAAACCGAGCCCUUCCAAAACCCAACGCUCCACUCCUCCAACGUUCAUAUUCUUUGGACAGAAGAUACACACGAUUGCACCUGUCUCGUUCCUAACAACCAUGUGGAAGAGUGUGAUUAUGUGGGUAGACAUGCAGCUCUGAAUCAAACCGACAAAAAGAAGCCCCUGCCUGAAAGCAAGAGUUCAAUGGAAAUAUGGACUGGUCGCAACGAUGGAUGGUCCCUAAAAACUUACUCUCAAGACCAAGUUAAUUUAUGAUUUUCAUAGUAACUUUGUCGAAACUCAUGUUUCAUUCCUUACUAAACUGGAGUCACUAUCUAAUUAUAAGAAACUCAUUUCAAACAUGCAACAAAUCUGUUGAAUACUUGAAUUAUUGUGCCUCCUUUUUAAGGCAUAAUUUGUGAUUGCCGAACUGUGUUUUUAGGACAAUUUCAUAAUUACCAUGUAAAAUUAGUCACAAAAGUAGACAAAAGUGGUUCAAACACACGCUCGAAUAGGCAAAAACAGAUUAGGCAACACAAGGUUAUCAUAAACCACCACAAUACCAAACUUAGCAAGUAAAGCUGACUUUUUCCUAGACAAGGAAAAUGCAACGCGUAUAUGACAACGAUGUCAGAACAAGCCAGUAAAGGCAAGAACACGAGUUUUCAUCUAGAGAUCACCUCCAGAAACCGAAGAUAACGCCAUCAAGGAGAUGACGUAAGAGCAAUGUCGUUACCAAGUCUAGCCGAUAAAGACCAUAUCGAGUCUUUUGGCUUGGCGCACAAAAUCUAACAUCACUUGAUCCAACCAAUGAAGGCAGACUUAUUCCCGACGAUUGCGUCAAUGUGCAUCUAGAUUUGGCAUCAUCCGAUGACAUGCUAUGAAGGGGUCGCCACUCCGCCCUCGAUGCCCCUGCGACUACCCAUCGGUGCCACCGCCCUGGCUUCCAUGCCAUAAUCCACCGUGAGACAUCCUCUAACGGGCAACCACCAUGAAGGGAGAUCAACAAGAGCCCUACCACCGCCAUCCGUCGCAAGAUCUUUGCUCAUGGCAUCCCCCGGCGGAGGAGGAGGAGGAGGUUGGAGGGAGGUAUGGUAGAGACGCUAACUUCCUUAACUCCAUUUUUUAUGUAAUAAAAAAGAUAGAGAAAUGUGCCAACCAAUCUCUGUAUCUAAAAAUGUACACGACCAACGAAUAUUAUUGACCUUCUGAACGAUGAUAAACAAACCCAUAUUUCCAUUGUUCUAGGCCGUGAGUUGCCAACAAACAUCCCGAUCCUGCCCGGAAUAUUAUCCACCGAAUGACAUCUGAUCCGAUCCCAUUUAACAAGAGCAAACUUGCCAAAAACAAGUCCGUUGGUUCGAUCAAAGCCUCGUCAGGUCCAUGGAAAACGGGCUGUGGCCAGGGUGGAAGAUUCCGGCCGGUCGGCCAGCCGCAGCCAGCCGCGGUGUGGUACAGAGCUACGUGACGCCGACGUACCAACCAAGCGAAGACAACCACCGUCUUCCGAGUGAAAUGAAAUCGACGACUACGUGGGUGCCAAGGCCGCUACGUGACGGCCGCGAACUCUGCUGGGCACUGUGAUAAAAAGUCGUCGAGGUGUCGUCUCCCAUGGCCUUGUUGCAUGCCCACGAAGCAUGUAGUGCUGCACAGUUGUAUAAAAACCGGAGAUGCCGCGUGGGCCACGGAGCUUAUGGUAGAUGUCAUAAAAGAUCAGUGCGCAGCUAGGCAUUUUGCUUGGCCGCUCAUCAAAGUGUUUACGAAGGCAUUGGCUCUGACAAAUGGAUAGCAAAUCUCAUGCUACAUCAGGUAAAAGUGGGCAUUGCCUAAAACCAAAGGUAAAAGUGGGCAUAGUUUUCUUACCAAUUCCUGCGCUGUGUUCGGGAGAUUCCGUUCAGCAGUCGGUUGGAAGAAGGCCUUCACUGUUCGGAAGAAAGGGGGUGCCUAAACCAGCUUGACAUAAUCAUAGACUGAAUGGGUCGUCGACAAAAUGAUUGGGAAUUUUUCCCAGACAAUUUCAAAAUUCCACCACCCGUUGGUUAAUCAAGAGGUGGUGGGUACUAGUAGCAGUACUAGCGAAGCAGCCGCCAUCAGAAAAAACAAUAGCACGAGCCAAAUCAGAAAGACAGCCGCUGCUUGCAAAGCAUGCCNNNNNNNNNNNNNNNNNNNNNNNNNNNNNNNNNNNNNNNNNNNNNNNNNNNNNNNNNNNNNNNNNNNNNNNNNNNNNNNNNNNNNNNNNNNNNNNNNNNNNNNNNNNNNNNNNNNNNNNNNNNNNNNNNNNNNNNNNNNNNNNNNNNNNNNNNNNNNNNNNNNNNNNNNNNNNNNNNNNNNNNNNNNNNNNNNNNNNNNNNNNNNNNNNNNNNNNNNNNNNNNNNNNNNNNNNNNNNNNNNNNNNNNNNNNNNNNNNNNNNNNNNNNNNNNNNNNNNNNNNNNNNNNNNNNNNNNNNNNNNNNNNNNNNNNNNNNNNNNNNNNNNNNNNNNNNNNNNNNNNNNNNNNNNNNNNNNNNNNNNNNNNNNNNNNNNNNNNNNNNNNNNNNNNNNNNNNNNNNNNNNNNNNNNNNNNNNNNNGGACAGCUAAGUUCGCCGGUGAUUCGCUCGUCUAAAGGUCACUCACCUAGCUUCAUUUCGUUGUAUUUCCUCGUGUCUGGAGCCUGAUGGGAGGUUAGUUAGGUGGUCGCCAAUGAUUGAGGAUUACCUGGCUGUGAUGGGAGGAGCUGGCUGGCCACAUUGGUGGCCUUCAGGUGAGAUGGACACGGGAACUCCAUCACAUGCCCCGGUUCAAGCAGCGGCCCCAUCCCUGCCCGGCGAUCCCUGUUGGGGAAGCUGUAGCAUUUCUCAUGCCGCACAUGUAGAAAUCUCCUGCAUGCCAACCGCCAUCGCCGUCGGUCCAGUGCGCGAUGAGCAUGGCACCAGCACGGCGUGGUCGCAAUCGCUACAGGCGGCUACAGGCAAGAACUCGGGGCAGUAUGUUAGUUCAGAGAAUUGAUGAAAUGAAAAUACCAGAACUUACCAUCAACUUCUAGCAUCAUGCCUCAUGGCUCCAUGCUCAAGAUAUUGCAAUGGGGCCUUUCAAGGCAAAUGCACCCCUCGUAUCUUUAUUCUAGAAUGUUAUAAUGUCACAAAGGCACAAAUUAAGUUGCAAACGAGGGCAUUCCGUGCCACAUUAUUAUAGGAACAAAGAGCUUGGUAGCCAUUCGCUGGGCAUUUGAAGAAUGAAAGAACAGAUAGCUAUGGACUAGAUUCCCUCGAGACUUCUUAUCCUCAGCUAAAUGACUAGCAACUUCAGUCUACUUACAUGUGGAACAGUGGAAACAAAGUGUGCCAUUAUUAGACAAAGUUCUAUAUACCAGUUGCAACUGUAGCUUCCGUCGAUCGAUUUCACAGAGAUGCGCCCGACUCCCAGCUCAAGAGUUUGUCACGCUUUGCAGCAGGCGUUGUCUAGGGCUCGGAGGGUAAGAUCAGCAUACUGUUUUUACCAACCGACAAGUCACCAAAAUGAGUCGAAACUGACAUUAUUCUCAUGCUUCCUUCAGACUCUGGCUUGUCUACUCCAAUCUAUGGGCUUGCCUUGAGCAAGAUGGAAGAGAAUGGAGCAAUUCUAUACCCUGAUCCAGUAAGUGGCACCCCUUCCGGUGCAAUAUCGUUUGGUGAUUCCAGGUUGGUAUCCACCUGCAAUAAGGACACAAUAGCAGUUUCAGGCUAAUUAUCCAUUAAACUUGUACUCCGUCCAAUCCAUAUUAAUUGACGCUGCUCUAGUACAAAGUUAGUACAACAUUAUACUAUAGCAGCGUCAAUUAAUAUGGAUCGAAGGGAGUAGCAAGUUCAGAACUAAGCCACUUGCUUCCAGAAAAUUGCAAAAAUCUGUCUUUCUCGGAAAACAUUGUGGAAAAAAAUCAGUAGAUUUAUCCAGGCAAUAGAUGUAGUAGCACGGGAGGAACUAGACAGUAAGACCACCGAGUUACAAAAAGUUAGCAAGACCAAAAGUAUGCAUACCACACGGUUCCAGUGUUUAUGUUGAGGGGCUGGGGGAAUCACAGCAUCCACAGAAUAGUCAUGGGCAUUGAAUGCCAAAUAGAUAUCUCCACCAGAAUUAUGGUCGUGUAUCCUACAUUAAUUGCCAAACAAAACAGUUGAGAAGACAAGAACCCAUUGGCCAUUGCAACCAAAUUACAACAAUACUAUCAUAUGGUCAGAAUGAAUUACACGAUCAAAACUGAAAGCCAAACUUCCUUACGUGAAUGCCAAGAAUUUGCUUUCCAGGUUAUCCCAACAAUCCUCGUGCCAAGUGACAUCAUUCUACAAUCAAGAAAGAUCAGAAUGCAAUGAAAAUCUUUGGAAGAAAAAUCAAACCAAGAGUUGCAUACUUGCAUCCUACAAAAGCUAGGAAUUGUCGUUUCUAACAUGCAAUGCACAAUAAGAGACCAGGGAGAUCACAUACUUAGCAAAUGCUCGACAGAAACUAAUAACCAUAUUUCAGUAAAGGAAGAAAUGUUUAUUUUCAAUACGCCACUGCAAGAACACUAAGAAUUUGAACAUACUUUACUGAGAAACCUGUCCCGUUUCAGUAUUGGGUGGUUCUGACGAAACUUAAUCAUCUCUGAGAAAAACCUGAAAUGGCCAUAUCUUCUUUCCGCCAACUGUAUCACACGGACACGGGGGGAAACAAGUUAGCAUAUAGAUGUGGCACAUCCAUAACACAUUUUGAAUGGAAAACCAAAAUAAUAUGUAACCUGUCCCCACUGGAAAUUAUUUAUGCAGGUAUCAUGUCCAUAGCUAUUAUUGUUUCCAUAACGUGUAUGACCAUAUUCAUCUCCCAUCAACAUCAUCGGGGUGCCCUGUUACAAAAAAAUGUACACAAUUAGCAAUUUUUACAUUAUGCAAUACCACGUAAAAGACCAACUGUGGAGUGAUCAACAAUAAUUACUUGAGAAAUCAUUAAUGCCACAUGGAAGUUCUUCAUUUGUCUCGAACGCAGAGCCAAUACAUUUGAAUCAUUUGUUUCUCCUGUUUGGCAACAAGACCAAAAUAGGUUGUUACCAACAGUUAAUAUGUCAAAUCUUUCAAAAACAAGCAUCGAAUAUAUCAAUAUUUACAUAACAUGAUGGCGUUAAGUGAAACAAACUCAACUAAUGUUCCCUCCAAAAUAUGAUAACCAUCCAUGGUUGUAUUUUUUCCGAGAAAACAGAAAGCUUGCAUUUCGAUGCAUUGAUAUAGAAAGAGUAGUAACCGUAGAAGCCUAAGACUACGCUGAAGCAACCGACCACUCAAGACAAGACCACAACCAACGGUCGCAAGACAGGCAUUACAACAAACAUCACCAAACCAACCCUGGCCUAGAUGCCAUCCACACAAACGGACAGAACACGAUGCCCAUCACAAGAAGAGAGAAUCCAACUCCGCAAAGAAGGGCAGAAUUGGGCUACUCCGCUUUGGAGGCGACAUAGUUGUAUUUGGUCUAAUCGUGAUACAAAAGCUCCAGUACUAAGACUAUGCAUGAGUCCUGUCAAGUGUCAAGCAUACUACAAAAUUAAUUUUAAACUAAAAGAGCAUUUUGUGUUCUCCUUGUUGUGCAAUACUAUACUUCAGUCAAAUAUCUUAAGAACGGCGGCUCUGGAGAUCGCCUCUGUGUGGUUGGGUGUCUCCUCUGGCUGCUUUGGUGGUUGAGUCGUCGACCCAUUGGGUGCGCGGCCUCGGGGCCCGUGUGCUGUGUUGCUGAUGUUUGUAAGCCGGAGGGGCGACUCCGGGUCGUGUGGUAGGGUGUCGACUAGGGUCACUUGGGUGGCAGAGUAGUCGGCCAGUUGGGGGCGCAGCCUCAGGGCCGGUGUGUUUGUAUGGCUCGUUGUAUCGGUUUUCAGCCACUUUUCCUUCCUAACUAGCCAAUUCUCUUCUUAUAUAUGAAAAGGCAGAGCUCCUUGCUUGCUCGAAGAAAAGAAAAAAACUCGCUUUUCAGCUGCUAAUUUCAAUGUGAAGAGCAACGCAUGAUAAUGAGUAAUGAUGGUACCUUCAACACCACAGUUCCAGCUAAAAUUAUCAUUGCAUCCAUCACGUCCACCUUCUCCAUUAGCGUCGUUGUGCUAUAUAAUUUUGGUCGAACAGAAACCAUAUUAACAUAGACACCAGUACUUGUAUAGAAGGACCUUAACUUUAUAGUGUUUUGGUAUACUCAAGUUACCUUUAAGUUGUAUGAAACAAGGUCACAUAAGGUGAACCCAUCAUGUGCUAUUAUAAAGUUCACACCAUGAUGAGGCUUCCGCUGGUUCACCUGCCAAUCAAUAUCACAUCAAAACUUGAUUUUACACGUCAUCCUGUUUUGAACUAUGUAAUCCUAAAUCUUCCACAUAAAAAGAAGUCUCAAAGCUUAUUCACAAGAGGCUCCUAGCACCUCCAUACAUAGAGAACUGGUUUAAAUUUCGAAAUGACAUCUCCAACAAUACCGUUUAGCAUUUGAGUGGAUCUUGGAGGAAUUAAUCAGAAUGAGCAUUGAAAACAGUGCAAUUAGAAUUGCAUACAAAAUAAAUUUGGAGGUUGCAUAUGUUAAUAGCAUAAGCUGCACCCUGAUGACACUAUGGAAAUAGCAAGUGUAUAGUUUCAACUUUCAACAACAAUGAAGGCUUAAGCUCAGGAAUUUCUUUUUCGCAAACACACACAUAAAUGUGUGUUUCCUGUAUUUAGCUUAGGGAUUUACAAAUACUUUAAAAAUUACUACAAAACAUCAAGAAACAGGGCUCCAAAAGAAAUUAUGUAUAGUGAUGAUAUAACCAAGCAAGGAAAAUCUUCAACUGAUGGAUAAAAAGGCAGGCAGGGAAAGAGCGCAUCUGAACAAAAUACCUGGUAGAGAUCAGCAGAUCCAGACACACGAGUUGCCAACACCCCCUUCAUACCAGGGUCACCCUGCAAAAACCCUCGAAAUGAUUAGCGGCAUUCAAUCAUUCAUCAGUGCUUGCAGAAAUAAAAUUGGAAAUAUAACAAAGAAAUUAAUCAGGACAAACUCUUUUGCAGAAGUGCACUCUAAAUUCAGAUCAAACGUUAUCAAAAUCCACUGAUGCUAAAAAGGAAAUAUCUUGGUUUUGUAGGUCUUUGAUGAUUUAGUUAUGAUUGAUUCAAAGACAUUAUGCUAUGGAAAGCAUGAGCGAGUGGAAGCAACAGCAGUCCAUGGAAAAUUGGGUCAGUAAAUUUGAACAGGCCGAGGAGCCUCAUACAUUCUUGAAAAUUCUAUAUUCUUCUGUGGUAAUCUUUCUCUCUGUUCUGGGCUUCUGGCCUUUUUUUAUCUUUCUAAGUUUUAUAUCUAUAACUUGGUUUUUGUCAAUAUAAAUGUAAGAGGAUACUUAUUUUCGCCACGACAAAAAGGUCAUGAACAAAGCCAUCUAAUGAUCUGUCUUAAGAAUAUACGGAAACAAUCGGGAUUUUGGAGAAUGGUAAAGAUCAGGAUCGGGAUUUAGCAAACAGUACCUUGAUGAACCUUCGAAGAUCGUCUCUGUACUUUCCAUUCCAUUCAGCCCACCUACAAGAGCAUUUGAUUAUAUCUUAGAAAUAUUGGCAAUAUUCACCAACAACAUUGAAACAUAUUCAGGUCUUCAUAUAUUUGAAAUUACCGGCAACAACUUUAGGCAACAAAAGGGACCACCAUAUGAAAAGGAGUACAGUUGUUAAGUACUCCCUCCGUCCCAUAAUAUAAGAGCUUUUUUGACACUGCACUAAUGUUAAAAAUGCUCUUAUAUUAUGGGACGGAGGGGGUAAUUUAUAAAUAAUCAUCAGAGCAUUACAUCAGCUAUGUUAGAAAAACAGCAACUCUUUGUGCUACACUAUCAUCGCAAUGUGAAAAUAGUUUAGUGCUAAAGAGGAAACAGAAGUAAGAAAAAUAUACAUAUCCAGUAAUUUCAAUACACAUAGUGCAAAAUUACCUGUCCCAAUUAGGGAAACGCCCUACUAGAUAAAGACCUCCACAAUCCCAAGGUUCAGCAAUUAUCUUGCAUCGAGAUAACACAGAAUCUUUGGCAAUUUCCUGUGACCAGCAAAAUAAACAAUGAAACAAAAUAACAACAAACAUCAUAGGCUGAUAAUUCUACAAAAACACUAAUGCAGGCUAUCAGAUGAACAUUGCAGUCUUGAGAAGGUGUGAUAUAUCAUUUGCAAUUGCAUAAAUGUAAGGGGACAUUCAAAAGGUCACACAUUCAUAGGACCCUCAGGUUCCUCUAAAUCUACUUCAUUAAUGAAGAGCUGAAUAUCUGAUGAUGAAAUUUUGCAUGAUUGAACUAAAUAUCUGCCCGACAAAUAGUUCAACAACUGAGAAAGACAAAGCAAAUACAGCAUACAAUGUUGUGAAGUCAAUAAAUUUCAAGGUGACAUUGGUUCAUGUGAAUUCAUUAGGUCACAAUUUGUAUCUGAUCAACCAUAGUAAGAUAUGGACAAUAGUUAAUCUAAGAACUUAUGUCUUGUGUUUUUAUGAUAUCAAUGAACUUCAUUUGACUAAAAAGAGGAAAAUUGUAUCUCUGAUUUGAAGUUAAACACUACAGUUCUGCAACUAUAAAAUUACCCUGAUGAGUGGAGGAGCAUCAAGAGGACUGCCAUCUGGUCCACGGCAAAGGACACUUGCAAGGUCAAACCGAAAUCCAUCUAUGUGAUACUCCGUAACCCUUGAAGCAUCAAAUAGCCAUGCAAAUAAGAAAACAUACUUAAAAUAUGAUGAAUUCUUUGAAAAAAGAGAUCAUAAGAAAAUACUUGGUCUGAAUUUUGUAUCAAGAUAUGAAUGAACUACAACAGUGCAUUUUUCUUGAUCCUUUGGCUGCCUUGCACUAAUACAUUUAAUAUAGGAUUUGUCAGUGCAUACAAUACUUUGAUAAGGAGAUCCCUAGCGACAUCACUCGUUCAAGGUUGAAAAUACUUAGUCGGUCCACUCACAAAGCACAAGAGUCACCCACCUAGACUCCCAUGAGAAUUGGUUGCUACCUGAUGCUUCUACACCAUGUGUACUAAGGAGUGAGGGAACAAGAAUGAUUGGCAAGCGAGGCUCAGUCUGGAGGCACAGCAAGCAACCGGUCCAACCAGAAACUCAGUGUGGGUUAGACAGGUCACACAUUUUUUUGGUCUAGCCUGUUCCGAUUGAACUGGCUCCUAUUCACUUCGCUGGUGUGAGUGGGUAUAGAAGCAGAAGCCCACCUCUUUUAAGAACAAAUGGAAGUCAUGAGCUUCGCUCCCCUCCUAUGGUUACAGCUUCCAUGUCACCCUAGGAUUGGGAGUUCCGGAGUUUCCCCGCCAAUGUUUUUGUUUCGUGUGCAAGAACCGUUUGUUGGGUGAGUUCUUGCUCAAAGGCUAUGACAUUGGCACUUGUUGCUGGCAUCAAUUGCUCAAGCAACUCGAGUCAUCCAUUCCCAUUGCCUGAAGGCCAGGCCUCCCCGUAUAUUAACUGAAGAAGUCAAGUGACCUCAUCAACUAUAACGUGUCACAACCCAGAUGAUUUGAUGGCUAUGAAUUAAUGUGUGCAGUGUGUACUGCAACAUAGAGGUAGUUUUCAGUAAUUUCAGUCUAUAAGUAUCAUCUUGAUUUGAUCAUAUAGAUCCGACAGUUCAAUUCCACAUGCAUAUUUACUCCCUCCGUCCCAAAAUUCUUGUCUUAGAUUUGUCUAAAUACGGAUGUAUCAAGUCAAGUUUUAGUAUUAGAUAUAUCCGUAUCUAGACAAAUCUAAGACAAGAAUUUUGGGACAGAGGGAGUAUUUACUUGUUAGCACUUGAUUGUGAGAGUGGAACACAUGUAUAAACAGGUGCUAUCGAAGCAUUGACUAUACUGAUUAAUGAAGACUAAAGAGAGGAUCAACAUGAAGAAAGAAAUAUGCAUAAACUAAAAUGCAGUUGCUUGACGUAUAGAACAACAUGCAAGUCGUGCAUACCAAUGUCUCAAGCUGUCGAGUACGAGUUCCAUGACCACAGGAUGGUUGCAGUUUAGUGUAUUCCCUGGAUUAAACCAAGUAUACUGUUAACACUUAGGAGUAGACACAAGUUCCACUUACUUGAAAUUUUAAACGUACCAGAACAUUAAGUACCUAGCCAUCUAAAUGUUAUAUCAACCAGAUAAUUAAGCAGGCUUUCAAUAUUUUUUUAACAAGGUUUCCUUAUAGGUAGCAAUGUGGCAGUCUCACAUCAAUGCAUGGGUUGAGAAAUAUAGUGGCUGCAGCCAAAUAAUGACCAAGUGAGAACUCUUAACCCUUCUACCAGUCAAUAUAGCACCUAACGUGGCUGCAAGGUUCAGUCUGAUGGCAUGACGAAGAUAAUAAAAAUAGAUUGAAUCAACAUUUAUCAUUUGAAAUACAUCACAACAAAGUAGCGGCCAGAUAUGCAGUUUAUUUGCCUAGAAGCACACAAUCGCAAGAUAAAUUAGCAAGGUACGUGGUUAGUAAGUGGAUCAGCAAAACAAGAUACAUUAACAUCCUUAAAAGCCGGAGCAACAAAGAACAUACAAAGCAUCAGGUAGCACCCUAGAACAUGCUCACCUAUCACAAGCACGUCACAAACAAUCAAGUAACAGAAGUUCAGGAAUCAUGGUUUUACCGCAUCCCGAGAAGUUCAGCAGUUGAGAGUUGUUCUUCGGAUCUAACAUGUAAUAAACCUGCAUGAAUGAAAGUAGUGUUUUUGGUAUAAAUCCAUGUAAAACCUGAAGCAGGUGUACACUUCUAAACACAUUGGGAUUUAGAACGGAUUAACUUAACCUGGUCACAAAUUUUACUUAGCCUUCUAAGACCAGUGACUGUCUGACCCAUUAUAAAAUAACAGGUCAAAAGGGUGGAGUGAGCAAACCCAUACACAAAUUCUGAGUUAAGCAGCCCUAUUCCGAUUCUAACCUAGUCCUCUUCAACCCGGAACAAAACACAACCUACACAUUAGAACUAAGAAAAGAUAGAGUGACAAGCAGAUAGGUGCCUUCGUCGGCUAUAACUCAAAUAGAUAAAUCACCUUGUUGUCGAUGCCACGAAAAGAAGUAACAUAAGGAUUAGCGUCAUCUGCUUCAUUUGUAUGGUUGUAAACGACAUCCAGAAUAACCUACACAAAAUGAUGAUACCACUAAACACAUGUUAUCAUGUGGGAUGAAUAAGAAUGCUACAAUAGGUUGCCAUAUCUACUGGAUGUCAAUACCUCUAUACCAGCUUUAUGCAAUGCCUUGACCAUCUGCUUGAGCUCUCUGGAAGCAGCCAAUGGUCCACCACCAGCACUUGCAUAGCGGGUCAUGGGAGCAAAAAAAUUGAUUGUAGAAUAACCCCAUGUAUUGACCUUCCAAUUGAGAAGAUGAAAAGUCAUUCCACAAUUGAUUCCACUGAUGAACCAUAAUGAUGACAUCAUGCACAAAGUGGCAUAUCGGAAUUUUUACCAUGUGGUCCCUUGGGUUAGGGUACCUCUUCAACUCCAGCUCAUCAAACUCAAAAACAGGUAGCAACUCCACUGCAUUAACUCCGAGUUCAAGCAAAUGCGGGAUCUACAAAACCGCAACUAUUGCAUGCAUAAGUCAUUAAACAAUAGGCUUGAAGCCUUGAACACUGAAAGCUAAUAUGCAUAUCAGGUUCCCAAAACUAGAUCACUAAAAUAAUAGUCGGAAUAUAUUUAUUUCGCUAAUAACUUCCAGUAAGGACCAAACAAAUAAUUGUUGUUACAAGCCACACAAUAAGAAGAAAUUAAAACUUACUUUGUCGAUGAAUCCUAGGUAGCUUCCGCGAACAGCUGCAUCAAGCCCACUUGACUCAUCCGCAGUGAAAGCGCGAACGUUCAUUUCAUAUAUAACUAGAUCUGUCUAGAUUAAAGAACAUAAGAAAAGCAGUGAACUUCAUGUUUGGGAUGCUUUCUGCAUUUAUUCUAUGAAAUGAUUCUAGUACCUCAGGCAAAUGUGGAAGCUGGUAAUCAGCACCCCAGUCAAAAGGAGAGCUAUCAAAAUCAUAUGUUCCAAAAGGCUGGCUGGGCUUCCCGUUAUCAACCCCAAAGUAAUUUCGACCAGAAACUAGUUUCGCGUAAGGGUCAAGAAGAAUAAUGUUGCUAUCAAACCUAUGGCCUUGUUCCCAUCCUUGAGGACCAUUAACACGAUAUCCGUAAAGAACUCCAGAAGUGGGCAACCCCUGAAAGUACAGUUAUAGAAGGCUUCAUUCAGCAUAUAUGCAUGGGAAAAUACAUAGGAGCAAAAUAGGCACAGAUUUCUCCUCCUAACUAUAAAUAUUGUAAAGAACAUAAGGAUGUGUUUUCAGCCAAGACCAAAAGAGAACAUAAGGAUUUCUCCUCCCAACAAUAAAUAUUGUAAAGAACAUAAGGAUAUGUUUUUCAGCCAAGACCAAAAAAUAUAGAUGUUCGCCGGCGUUCUGGUGGCUCCGCCUCCGGCGGUACGAAUCUGCGUUCCCUUCCGGCUCCGGAUUGCCGGCGGCCAUCCUUCCAUCUGCAUAGGCUCUCUACCCCGCUGCCUCUCCGACCCCGUCCGCCUACACGCCAUGUCGGUUCCAAAGCUCGCGUUUUUCGUCGGCAACAUGUGCAGCCCCACCCCCAUCAGAGGUAGUGGUCGACAUGCAGGUUGUCUCCGACAUCUUUGGAUCCUGAUUUGGCGGCUUUGAGAUUGCUUGGACUAGGCCAGGCGAAAUCCAUGCUCGGUUUGCCGAUGCAGGUCGUUUCCCUUCUUGGAGGCGCUGCCAUGGCCUUUGUCCGUGCACCCCUUCGAGUAUGAGGGGAAACCCUAGGUCCGGUUCUCCGGAUCGGAUGGCGACGACGUCACGACAUCAUUCCCCUUCUUGAAGGCGCUAUCUUGCUAGCUCAUGGUGUCCCGGUGUUGGAAUUGAAGAUUUUUUAUUGAAGGGUUUUUCUCCCCGAUUUCAUCCAGAAACCACAAAAAUCCUUGCAGUCAUGCUAGAAGUGACACAGUGAGAUAGCCAAAGUUAUGAGGCUACACUACUCAGUAGUGCAUUUUGUUUCCCUUUAUGAAUGAGUUACGUGAUAAGACCAGUGCUUUCAAAAUAUAUGAUUCUCAUAAAAUUAAAUCUUGUUUUGAAGAAUAUGCAAUACAGAUACACAUGAGACGAAUGAUGGGAUUCUUGUUCCAUAAAUGCCAGCCACACCAAGUUGUCAAUACUGAAAAGAAUAAUGCCUUAUCUUCGAAGGUACAGAUAACAUCAAAGCUUCAUAACAAUACCUCCACCGACACAUGCCAUAUAUCUCCAGUUUUGUUCUUCUGGCAAUCUAAAGCAAACUCCACAACUUUUUCACUUUCUUCAUCCUUGGUUCCUCUGCAGGGCAAUCCAGUAUGUCAGACGUUGAGACGAAUCAUAUUUCAUUGGAAAGAGAAUGCGAGAUGAACAAGCUAAAGCACAAUGCUGAUCAGCAAAAGGUUAUUUCAACCAGGCCAACACCCCAGAUCAACUAACAAAAUGCAAAAUGGCAACCUGGGAAACAAAUAAACAUCGUUUUGUGCACGAUCUGCAACAUACACAAACAGUUGAUCAAAGUGCGACGUAAGGAUGUGUUUUGGCUUUAUGAACAACUUGUUUUGCGGAAAACCAGGAUUCACGAGUCCUGGCCUAAAAGGCAAAAACAGUUUAACUUAAGUGACACUGAAAGCAACAAAACCACACAAUUUAGGAAAGGUUGUCUGUACCUCUCAGGAAGCUUGAUGCAGAGGGUGACAGAAGAAGCAUUUUGAGAGAAAAUCGCAAAGUUGAGACCACUUUCAACCUGCGACACUCCUAGAGGGGAUGCUUUGCCGGAAGAAUAUUUCAAGGGCAUUUCGGUACCCGCCGUUGCGCUUUCCCUUUCCUGGCGGUGUUGCAGAAUGAACAUACACUUUAGCAAAAAUAACAUGGUACAGAAUGAGGAAUAAGAAUACGCAGCAUCAUACAGUUAAUGAAUACAAACAUAUUCGCUUAGCGUGAAGUUUUACCAGGAUGAUAGCUCACGACAUGCCAAAUGACCAUGAAUGUAUAUCAAACAAACAGUUCAGUACACUGGUAGCUAAAUGGAUCGACGAACAAAUACAGUGUACUAUACAACCAUACGGGGCAUGAACACUUGAGUGUGGGGCGAUACCUCGGUCACAAUUCUCCCAGCAUUACCAGUCUGAGCUCCCACCGAGGUACUCCGCACGGACCUAAAUCGCUGUGCCUGCACCACGACAAAAUCCGCUCUGAUCAAUCCACCAAUUAGAGCAGAGGAAUGGAUGCACGCCGCGAAAAACAAAAGUACGAAAUCGAGACACCUGCCUUUCCGAAUUGCCCUCCUCCGCACCCGGGCGCGACCCCAAGCCUGCUCGCUGCCACACUGCACGGGAACCACGACCAAACACAUGCAUCGUUCAGCGCGGCCGCACGGCAGGAAAGCAACAAAAUGCAGCGCGGCGAAACGAGGUCUCGCGAAGAGAGAGGUUAAAAACCCACCGGUUAGGAAGCGCGGGGCGGACGGAGCUGCUGCUUCGGCGCGCGGUGGCGGCGGCGGCGGGGCGCAGCGGGGAGCGAUUUGUAGAGGCCGCCGAAUCCAUCCAAAUGCGGGGGUGCUGGGACGGGGUGGCGGGAGGGAUUUGGCUCGGGGCCGGGGCUUAGUUAUAGGGGCUCGUGGACACGGUCAUGGGGCGGCUCGCGGCUCUCGAGGUCGAGGGAGUGGAGCGGCGAUGGGGAGCGCAAGUCGGAGCAGGAGGAGAAGGAUGCGGUGAUCUCACCUCGGGGAGGGCGCGCGGAGGAAUGGGGGCGCGGGGGCGACGGAGAUGGGUGAUGGACACGUGGUGUCGCAUGCGCGGGGCGGGGGCGGCGGAUAGGGAAGUGGAGUGGACGGAGGACCUUGGCUCCCUUCCGGCCCCGACGUGUGGUGUCGUCUCGUCAUGUGCUUUCCAUACAACAGUUACCGGUGGUCUCAGUAGACGAGAAACGGUCGAAAUCACGGACAGAAGAGGUGGGAAACUUGCUUUACCGAAAAAUCUGAAAAUAAUUAUCCACGUAUCUUUAUCUUUACCUCCUUACCUAUAUAUAUAUAUAUAUAUAUACUAAUAUAUAUAUAUUAUAUAUAUAUAUAUAUAUACUAAUAAACCACGCAUCGCUUCUGGUGGUACGUCAUAAAAACAACCCUCGAAGUUGGCAAUAAUUACCCACCAAUGCCACCCGUAAGUGGCAAAAACGAUUCGUUUUUAAUUUCUAAUAUCGCUCCAGGGUUCUGUUAUUAAAGGUGGAUACAAUAUAAUAGCACUAAUGCAUGAGCAGUGCGAUGGCUGAGGCAAUGAUGCUCCACACAGGAGACCAGGGUUCAAUCCCUGGUUCUCACGCUUUUUCUCUUUCUUUUUACCAAGCGCAGUAAUGGGCCAGCCCAUGUGCGGGUCGUGGCGCCCCCUGUUUUCUAUAUCUUUUUUUUAUUUCUAUUUUGUUUUUUCCCUAAAAAUAAAUUUCGGAUUGAUGGCGCCCCCUAUUUUUUAUUUCUUUUUACUUUUUUUUCUGUUUUGGUUUUUUAUCUCAAAAUUAAUUUCGGAUUUCCAAAAUAUCAAACAAUUGCGAGUUCUGAAAAAAAGUAGGAAAAUGGUAAACUGUUUGUGAAUUUAAAAAAUAUUCUAAAAAUCAAAAAAUGUUCAUGACUUAAAAAAUUGCUCACAAAUUAUAAACAAAUCACGAUUUCUAAUGAUUUCAUGAAAUAAAAAAUGUUCAUGAUUUUUUUAAAUGAGCCAAUAUUCAAAGUAUAUUCAGGAAUUUAAAAAUCAUGUCCAUCAGCUUUUAGAAAAUGUUCACAAAAAUUAAAACACGUCCGUAAAUAAUGAACAAAACUAAUUGUAGGUUCCAUAAAGGUUUUAUUAGGAGAUCUAUAUAGCUCGUUUUAUGAUUUUAUUUAGUCCUUCGCGUUGGGUAAAAAAGGGUUUCCGUGUUUUGUACAACGCUGAACCCAACAAAAUUGACAUAACUUUCUAAGGGUUUGUUUUUGUAAGCUAUAUUAAAAUGACUAAAUGUCUAUUUUGCUUCCAUACACAGUUAUGCUUAUUUUCAUAUCACAAUAGUGGUUAUGGUAAACACCGCUACGCUAAAUCCAGACGAGACACUUUAUUUAUCAGUAUAGCUCAGGCAGGGUCCGUCAAUGCAGUUUGCUCAGCCACAAAAUAUUUUGUUGUGACGCCUUAAAAAAUCAAGUCUUGAUGAGCAUCAUAUUGUUCGUUUUUGAAAUUACAUUUUAAAAGUGUCUUAUCGCAUCAUGACAUGAUUUGUAUAUACUUUGUGAAUUUUAUUCAUACUUUUUUAUAUCUACCACACAUGUAUAACUUGAUAGUUUUUUUCCGUUGCAAGGCACGGGCAUUUCCAAAAAUGUUCGCUAAAUCAAAAAAAGUUUGUCAAAUUCAAGAACUAUUCCACCCAAUUUCUAAAUAUUUUCAUCGAUUAUAGAAUGUUUGCCAGUUCAGGAAAAUUGCUUAAAAAUGUUCACAAUUUCUAAAAAAUGUUUGUAAAUAGCAAAAAAUAUUCAUAAAUUGAAAAAAUGUUCUUGAUUGUAGAAAAUGUUCAGAAAUUUGUAAUAGUAUGUUGUUUGCGAUUUCAAAUAUGUGCAUGAGUUUAACAAAUUGUUCAUAAUUUCAAAAUGUUCAUGAUUUCGAGAAAUUGAGAGAGAUAUUGUAUCUCGGUGAUGCAACGAAAUGUGAUCAUGACCAUUUGAAAUUAUGAAUUUUUUUCUCCCGUUGCAACGCACGGGCCCUUUUGCUAGUACACUACUUAACUACUUAUAUAUUAUAGAAAAGCAAACAAAAGCUUCUCUAAACACACCCAUAGAAUGUACACGGAUCAAUUACAACUGCAUGAUUAGACCCACUAAAUCAAUCUAACGGCUAGCCUUAAUUUAAUUCCUUUUGUACGUACGUUUAGCAAUUUUAAUUGACUGGUGUACUCCACCACACAGGAAAACACACGUCAGACUACUCAUAGUGGAACUAAUAUGAGUGGUAACAUCACACAUGUCUAGGCAAAAUAGAUGACGUGAUAAAUAAUUAAUAAGGAAAGAGAGGCAUAUGAUAACAUACCAUCUUUGUCCUGGUUUAUUAGUCCCCUUUAUAAUUUGUGCUAAAUUUUGACCAAAGAUUUAACUGAUAAAAUACUAGAACAUGUUAACAAAAAUUAUAUCGUUAGAUUCAUAUUUGAACAUAGUUUACAAUGAUAUAAUUUUUAUUGACAUGCAUAAACAUCUUGUUAUUUAAAUUUAUGAUCAAAAUUUAGCACAAAUUACAAUGGAGACCAAUACACUAGGGCAGAGGGGUAGUAUCAAGACAAGAUGAGUCUGCGACCUAAUAAAUGAGGUGUUACAUGACAUCACACAUAUGUUAUUUCUCAUUAUAGGGGUAGUAACAUAGACUAGUAACAUACUAGUCUAGGUUAUUCCCCACUAUGGGUAAUCUCACACCCCGCAUCGGCAACUCCUACAAUCACGCAACGCACGCAAUCCGAACUGCCACCAGUUAACCUAUAUCCAUUAAUUAGCGCCUAAUCAAUUCUCAUAUGAAACCUCCAUUCAAAAGAGAGAAAAUUCCCAAGAGCAUGCAAGCCACCCGCCAAUGCAAGCGAAACACCGCCUUCAGGACGAGCGAGGAGCCCGUCGUUGAGGAACCCAAAGCAACACACGAGGGAGGGAGAAACGGACGAACUCACAGACAGAAGAGGUGGGAAACUUGCUUUAUCGAAAAAUCUGAAAAUAAUUAUCUACACUAUUUAUAAAAAAGUAAACAAAAUCUUUUAUAAACACACCCACAAAAUAUACACAGAUCAAUUACCACCGCAUGAUUAGACCCACUAAAUCAAUCUAACGGCUAGCCUUAAUUUAAUCCCUUUUGUAUGUGCGUUUAGCAAUUUUAAUGGACUGACCGUAGUCCACCGCACAGGAAAAGACCUCAGACUAUCCAUAGUGGGAGUAACAUGAGUGGUAACAUCACACAUAUUUAGGCAAAAUAGAUGAUGUGCCAAGUAAUUAAUAAGGAAAGAGAGGCAUAUGAUGACAUACUAUCUCCGUCCUGGUUUAUUAGUCCCCUUUGUAAUUUGUGCUAAAUCUUGACCAAAGAUUUAACUGACAAAAUGUUAGUGCAUGUUAACAAAAAUUAUAUCGUUGGAUUCGUAUUUGGACAUAGUUUUCAAUGAUAUAAUUUUUUAUGACAUGCAUAAACAUUUUGUCAGCUAAAUUUAUGGUCAAAAAUUGACAUUGAUUACAAUUGGGACCAAUAAAUCAGGACAGAGGGGUAGUAUCAAGACAAGAUGAGUCUGCAACCUAAUAAAUGAGGUGUUACAUGACACCACACAUAUGUUAUUCCCCGCUAUAGGGGUAGUAACAUAGACUAGUAACAUAUGCAUGUUACUAGUCUAAGUUACACCCCGCAUCGGCAACUCCUACAAUCACGCGACGCACGCAAUCCGAACUGCCACCAGUUAACCUAUAUCCAUUAAUUAGCGCCUAAUCAAUUCUUAUAUGAAACCUCCAUCCAAAAGAGAGAAAAUCCCCAAGAGCAUGGAAGCCACCCGCCAAUGCAAGCGAAACACCGCCUUCAGGACGAGCGAGGAGCUCGUCGUUGAGGAAACCAAAGCAACACACGAGGGAGGGAGAACAGGGCACGCAAAGGAGAGGACACGCCCAGGGCGGCAGUGCACUCACCUGACAACACACAUGCGGCCCGGCCCUGUCCGGUGCCGGCGGCGCAUGUCCCCCAAGGAUCGAGGGUUGAAUGCUCCCGGGAGGAGACACGCCGUGAGUCGUGAUGUCAGUGUCAAAGAAAUCGGAAGGACGCACCGAGAGGCUAGCCGGCAAUGAGCGUGCCCUGGCCCUGUCAGGCGGAGGCGUGUGCGCCAUAGGAGGCACAUGAAGAGCUCACAUACGGCCAAAUGAUUUAUACGUCUCCAACGUAUCUAUAAAUUUUGAUUAUUCCAUGCUAUUAUAUAUUAUGUUUUGGAUGUUUAAUGGGCUUAUUUAUACACUAUUAUAUUAUUUUUGGGACUAACCUAUUAACCGAAGGCCCAGCCCAAAUUGUUAUUUUUUGCCUAUUUCAGUGUCUCGCGGAAAAAGAAUAUCAAACGAGUCCAAACGGAAUGAAACCUUUGGGGGCGUGAUUAUUGUAACAAACGUGAUCCAAAGGACUUGGAGUGGACGUCAAGCAACCAACAAGGAAGCCACGAGGCAGGGGGCGCGCCUAACCCCCUGGGCGCGCCCUCCACCCUCGUGGGCCCCUCGUGGCUCCAUCGACCUACUUCUUCCUUCUAUAUAUACCUACAUACCCUGAAAACAUCGUGGAGCACCACGAAAACCUAAUUCCACCGCCGCAACCUUCUAUACCCGUGAGAUCCUAUCUUAGGGCCUUUUCCGGCACUCCGUCGGAGGGGGCAUUGAUCACGGAGGGCUUCUACAUCAACACCAUAGCCUCUCCGAUGAUGUGUGAGUAGUUUACCUCGGACCUUCGAGUCCAUAGUUAUUAGCUAGAUGGCUUCUUCUCUCUUUGGAUCUCAAUACAAAGUUCUCCUCGAUUCUCUUGGAGAUCUAUUCGAUGUAAUCUUCUUUUGUGGUGUGUUUGUCGAGAUCCGAUGAAUUGUGGGUUUAUGAUCGAGAUUAUCUAUGAACAAUACUUGAAUCUUCUCUGAAUUCUUUUAUGUAUGAUUGGUUAUCUUUGCAAGUCUCUUCGAAUUUUCAGUUUGUUUUGGCCUACUAGAUUGAUCUUUCUUGCAAUGGGAGAAGUGCUUACCUUUGGGUUCAAUCUUGCGGUGCUCGAUCCCAGUGACAGUAGGGGAAACGACACGUAUUGUAUUGUUGCCAUCGAGGAUGAUGGGGUUUAUAUCAUAUUGCAUUGAGUUUAUCCCUCUACAUCAUGUCAUCUUGCUUAAAGCGUUACUCCGUUCUUAUGAAUUUAGUACUCUAGAUGCAUGUUGGAUAGCGGUCGAUGUGUGGAGUAAUAGUAGUAGAUGCAGGUAGGAGUCAAUCUACUUGUCACAGACGUGAUGCCUAUAUACAUGAUUAUACCUAGAUAUUCUCAUAACUAUGCUCAAUUCUAUCAAUUGCUCGACAGUAAUUUGUUAACCCACCGUAAUACUUAUGCUAUCUUGAGAGUAGCCACUAGUGAAACCUAUGGCCACCGGGUCUAUUUUCCUUCAUACAAGUUUCCAAUCUAUUUUAUUUUGCAAUCUUUACUUCCAAUUUAUAUCAUAAAGAUACCAAAAGUAUUUAUCAUAUUAUUAUUAUCUCUAUCAGAUCUCACUCUUGCAAGUGGCCGUGAAGGGAUGGACAACCCCUUUAUUGCGUUGGUUGUGAGGUUUUUAUUUGUUUGUGUAGGUAAGAGGUGACUCGCGCGUGAUCUCCUACUAGAUUGAUACCUUGGUUCUCAAAAACUGAGGGAAAUACUUACGCUGCUUUGCUGCAUCACCCUUUCCUCUUCAAGGGAAAACCAACACAUGCUCAAGAGGUAGCAAGAAGGAUUUCUGGCACCGUUGCCGGGGAGAUCUACGCCAAGUCAAGACAUACCAAGUACCCAUCACAACUCUUAUCAUUCGCAUUACAUUAUUUGCCAUUUGCCUCUCGUUUUCCUCUCCCCCACUUCACCAUUGCCGUUUUAUUUGCCCUUCUUCUAUUCGUCUUUCCAUUUGCUCUGAUGUCUUACUUGGCUCAUUUGCUCGUUUAGUUGGAAUAGUUGUUUAUUUAUUGCUAAACAAAGAACCUAAGAUCUAUGGAUCCUCAUCCGCUUGCUAAUCUUUUUAAGAGAUCCAAUUAUGAUGAACCAAUUGCUAGUGAGUUUUGUGCACUAGAUUAUCUUUGUGAAGUUUUGCUUGAAAUUCGUGAAUCUGAAAAUUGUGAUGAAGUACUUUAUGGAGUGAUUCAAGAUGGAUCUUUGAAUAGAAAGCAUGAUUGCAAUGAUGAUAGUAUAAAUUCUAUUAAUGUCAAUUGUGCUUAUAAUAUGCAAAACUCUAAGCUUGGGGAUGCUAGUUUUGUUAUGUCUACUACUUGUUGCAAUGAUCAUGAUAUUCUUCUUUUGAUCUUGAAAAUUUAUUUAAGCCCCAUGAUGAAUAUGAGAUUGAUAAUAGUGUUUGCAAUAUUACUGAAAGUGGUUUUGGAAGAUUGUCAACUUUAGAUCCCACAUAUUUGGAGAAUAUUCAAUCUUAUGAAAUUUUUGAUAAAAGUGGGUUUGGAGAGGUCAUGACUUUAGUUAAUGUUAAUCCCACUAUUUUGGAAGAGUGUCAACUUUGCAUGCAUGUGGAUUGUGUUGAAAAUAUUUUAUGUGAUAGCUAUUUUGUUGAAUUUGCUUAUGAUUCCACAUGCAAUUAUUAUGAGAGAGGAAAAUAUGGUGGUAGAAAUUUUCAUGUUACUAAUUUACCUCUCGUUAUGUUGAGAUUGCUAUUGUUUCUUUUCGCUUCCUUGCAUAUGCUAGUUUAUGCUUGCCUUGAUAAUUUGUUUGCCUAUAAGAUGCUUAUGCAUAGGAAGUAUGUUAGACUUAGAUGUGUUUGUCACUUGUCUUGUGAUGCUCUCUUUGUGCUUCAAUUCUUGUCUUUCAUGUGAGCAUCGUUGAAAUCUUAUGCCUAGUUAUAAGGCUUUAAAGAAAAUCGCUUGUUGGGAGGCAACCCAAUAUUUUCCCUUGCUGUUAUUCAAUAAAUAAUUUAUCUAGCCUCUGUUUUGGUUGUGUUUUUUGUGUUUAAUUAGUGUUUGUGCCAAGUAGAACCAUUGGGAAGACUUGGGAAAAGUCCUUUUGAUCUUGCUGUAAAAAACAGAAACUUUAGCGCUUGCAAGAAUUGCUGCCAUUUUUUAUUGAAGAGUGCUAUUUAGUUAAUUCUUUUUUAAGAUGAUUAAUACAUAAAUUCCUCACGUCCAGGAAUUUAUUUUAGAAUUUUUGGGAUUCCAGAAGUUUGUGUCAGUUACAGAUUACUACGGACUGUUCUGUUUUUGACAGAUUCUGUUUUUCGUGUGUUGUUUGCUUAUUUUGAUGAAUCUAUGGCUAGUAAUGGAGUUUAUAAAUCACAAAGAAGUUGGAAUACAGUAGGUUUAACACCAAUAUAAAUAAAGAAUGAGUUCAUUACAGUACCUUGAAGUGGUGUUUUAUUUUCUUUCGCUAACGGAGCUCACGAGAUUUUCUGUUAAGUUUUGUGUUCUGAAGUUUUCAAGUUUUGGGUAAAGAUUUGAUGGAUUAUGGAACAAGGAGUGGCAAGAGCCUAAGAUUGGGGAUGCCCAAGGAACCCCAAGGUAAAAUCUAAGGACACCAAAAAGCCUAAGCUUGGGGAUGCCCCGAAAGGCAUCCCCUUUUUUGUCUUCGUUCAUCGGUAACUUUACUUGGAGCUAUAUUUUUAUUCACCACAUGAUAUGUGCUUUGCUUGGAGCGUCUUGUAUGAUUUGAGUCUUUGCUUUUUAGUUUACCACAAUCAUACUUGCUGUACACACCUUUUGAGAGAGACACACAUGAAUCGGAAUUUAUUAGAAUACUCUAUGUGCUUCACUCUAUGUACUCUAUGGUUUCAUUUUAUAGAAAUAAUUGAUCUCUCAUGCUUCACUUAUAUUAUUUUGAGAGUCCUUUAGAACAGCAUGGUAAUUUGCUUUUGAUAUUAUAAAAAAACUUUCAUAUAAGUGCAUUGAAUACUAAGAGAAGUUUGAUACUUGAUGAUUGUUUUGAGAUAUGGAGAUAGUGAUAUUAAAGUUGUGCUAUUUGAGUAGUUUUGAAUUUGAGAAAUACUUGUGUUGAAGUUUGAAAGUCCCGUAGCAUGCACGUAUGGUAAACAUUGUGUAACAAAUUUGAAACAUGAGUUGUUAUUUGAUUGUCUUCCUUAUGAGUGGCGGUCGGGGACGAGCGAUGGUCUUUUCCUACCAAUCUACCCCCCUAGGAGCAUGCGCGUAAUACUUGGUUUUUGAUGACUUGUAGAUUUUUGCAAUAAGUAUGUGAGUUCUUUAUGACUAAUGUUGAGUCCAUGGAUUAUACGCACUCUCACCCUUCCAUCAUUGCUAGCCUCUUCGGUACCGUGCAUUGCCCUUUCUCACCUUGAGAGUUGGUGCAAACUUCGCCGAUGCAUCCAAACCCCGUGAUACGAUACGCUCUAUCACACAUAAACAUCCUUAUAUCUUCCUCAGAACAGCCACCAUACCUACCUAUUAUGGCAUUUCCAUAGCCAUUCCAAGAUAUAUUGCCAUGCAACUUUCCACCGUUCCGUUUAUUAUGGCACACAUCAUCAUUGUCAUAUUGCCUUGCAUGAUCAUGUGGUUGACGUCGUAUUUGUGGCAAAGCCACCAUUCAUAAUUCUUUCAUACAUGUCAGUCAUGAGUCAUUGCACAUCCCGGUACACCGUCGGAGGCAUUCAUAUAGAGUCAUAUCUUGUUCUAGAAUCGAGUUGUAAUCAUUGAGUUGUAAAUAAAUAGAAGUGUGAUGAUCAUCAUUAAUAGAGCAUUAUCCCAAGAAAAGGGGGGAGAAAGGCCAAAUAAUGAAAAGGAAGGCCCCCCAAAAAGGGGCAAUGCUACUAUCCUUUUUUCCACACUUGUGCUUCAAAGUAGCACCAUGAUCUUUAUGAUAGAGAGUCUCUUGUUUUGUCAUUUUCAUAUACUAGUGGGAAUUUUUCAUUAUAGAACUUGGCUUAUAUAUUCCAACAAUGGGCCUCCUCAAGUGCCCUAGGUCUUUGUGAGCAAGCAAGUUGGAUGCACACCCACUUAGCUUCUUUUGUUGAGCUUUCAUACAUUUAUAGCUCUAGUGCAUCCGUUGCAUGGCAAUCCCUACUCCUUGCAUUGACAUCAAUUGAUGGGCAUCUCCCUAGCCCAUUGAUUAGCCGCGUCAAUGUGAGACUUUCUCCUUUUUGUCUUCUCCACAUAACCCCCUUCAUUAUAUUCUAUUCCACCCAUAGUGCUAUAUCCAUGGCUCACGCUAAUGUAUUGCGUGAAAGUUGAAAAAAGUUUGAGAUUACUAAAGUAUGAAACAAUUGCUUGGCUUGUCAUCGGGGUUGUGCAUGAUGAGAGCAUUCUUGUGUGACGAAAAUGGAGCAUGACCAAACUAUAUGGUUUUGUAGGGAUGAACUUUCUUUGGCCAUGUUAUUUUGAGAAGACAUGAUUGCUUAGUUAGUAUGCUUAAAGUAUUAUUAUUUUUAUGUCAAUAUUAAACUUUUAUCUUGAAUCUUUCGGAUUUGAACAUUCAUGCCAUAAUAAAGAAAAUUACAUUGAGAAAUAUUUUAGGAAGCAUUCCACAUCAAAAAUUCUGUUUUUAUCAUUUACCUACUCGAUGACGAGCAGGAAUUAAGCUUGGGGAUGCUUGAUACGUCUCCAACGUAUCUAUAGUUUUUGAUUGUUCCAUGCUAUUAUAUAUUCUGUUUUGGAUGUUUAAUGGGCUUAUUUAUACACUUUUAUAUUAUUUUUUGGGACUAACCUAUUAACCGGAGGCCCAGCCUAAAUUGCUGUUUUUUUUUGCCUAUUUCAGUGUUUCGCAGAAAAAGAUUAUCAAAAGGAGUCCAAACGGAAUGAAACCUUCGGGAGCAUGAUUUUUGGAACAAACGUGAUCCAGAGGACUUGGAGUGGACGUCAAGCAACCAACAAGGAAGCCACAAGGCAGGGGGGCAUGCCUACCCCCUAGGCGCGCCCUCCAUCCUCGUGGGCCCCUCGUGGCUCCACCGACCUACUUCUUCCUUCUAUAUAUACCUAUGUACCCUGAAAACAUCUGGGAGCACCACGAAAACCUAAUUCCACUGCUGCAACCUUCUGUACCCGUGAGAUCCCAUCUUGGGGCCUUUUCCGGCGCUUCGCCGGAGGGGGCAUUGAUCACGGAGGGCUUCUACAUCAACACCAUAGCCUCUCCGAUGAUGUGUGAGUAGUUUACCUCAGACCUUCGGGUCCAUAGUUAUUAGCUAGAUGGCUUCUUCUCUCUCUUUGGAUCUCAAUACAAAGUUCUCCUCGAUUCUCUUGGAGAUCUAUUCGAUGUAAUCUUCUUUUGCGGUGUGUUUGUCGAGAUCCGAUGAAUUGUGGGUUUAUGAUCGAGAUUAUCUAUGAACAAUAUUUGAAUCUUCUCUGAAUUCUUUUAUGUAUGAUUAGUUAUCUUUGCAAGUCUCUUCAAAUUUUCAGUUUGGUUUGGCCUACUAGAUUGAUCUUUCUUGCAAUAGGAGAAGUGCUUAGCUUUGGGUUCAAUCUUGCGGUGCUCGAUCCCAGUGACAGUAAGGGAAACGGCGCAUAUUGUAUUGUUGCCAUUGAGGAUAAAAAGAUGGGGUUUAUAUCAUAUUGCAUGAGUUUAUCCCUCUACAUCAUGUCAUCUUGCUUAAAGCAUUACUCCGUUCUUAUGAACUUAAUACUCUAGAUGCAUGCUGGAUAGCGGUCGAUGUGUGGAGUAAUAGUAGUAGAUGCAGGCGGGAGUCGGUCUACUUGUCACGGACGUGAUGCCUAUAUACAUGAUCAUACCUAGAUAUUCUCAUAACUAUGCUCAAUUCUAUCAAUUGCUCGACAAUAAUUUGUUCACCCACCGUAAUACUUAUGCUAUCUUGAGAGAAGCCACUAGUAAAACCUAUGGCCCCGGGGUAUAUUUUCCAUCAUACAAGUUUCCAAUCUAUUUUAUUUUGCAAUCUUUACUUUCAAUUUAUAUCAUAAAAAUACCAAAAAUAUUUAUCUUAUUAUUAUUAUCUCUAUCAGAUCUCACUCUUGCAAGUGACCGUGAAGGGAUUGACAACCCCUUUAUCGCGUUGGUUGCGAGGUUUUUAUUUGUUUGUGUAGGUACGAGGUGACUCGCGCGUGGUCUCCUACUGGAUUGAUGCCUUGGUUCUCAAAAACCAAGGGAAAUACUUACACUGCUUUGCUGCAUCACCCUUUCCUCUUCAAGGGAAAACCAAUGCAUGCUCAAGAGGUAGCAAUGAUAGGGCCACCCACGUACGCUAGCAAGACGCAGGUGCUAUUGCCGGAGCUAAAACUCGUGUAUGAGAGGUAGCGACUCCCUGACGCCAUGCUUGACAACUUCCCAUGAAGGGGGUCUGUGUUGAUUUGCAUCGGAGGCGCCCCAAAACCCUAUUGCGCCCGUUUGCACUAUAUAAAGCAGAGGAAACCCUUUCGCCAAGAGGAAGUUAUUCAUCAAGCCAAGAACCGCCAGGCUGUCAUCAUCACCAUUCCCACCUACAACAAAUGUCACCAUCUCCAUUAGCCAUAAUACUUAUAGUCGAUAGUGCAUCACGACCAAUGUAAGACUUAUAAUCAUUCAUGUUUAAGUAUCAAUCUUUACAGUGUCUAUUGCUUAUGAAUUAUUCGCGAUGUCUGAGUAGUCCCCUUGGUCUAAGGGUUGAGGCAUCUCAUGUAUGUGCGUCAAGGGAUCAUUGGUUUACUUUGAUAUGUUAACAGAUUUCCUAUGUGUUGCACAACUUUUGCCUCAUUUCCUUAAUCAUAAGACUUGCAUGUAUGCAACAUAUGGAAGAUUGGACAGGGAGAUAUUAUGGACAGAGAAGAGUGACUUCUAUGAGGAAUAUCGGUGACAGAGAUAUUAAUAUAGUAGAUGGAAACGAGUCUUUGGGAUAAAUAAUGUGCAAUCAUUAAAUGCCCAACGUAUUGGUCCAAUUUAUUCCUUAAUAUAACUGAGGUAAUCCCGUUAGUCAAAAGGGCCUUGGUUGGACAAUAUAACCUUGAUCCGGCGUUGGUCGGUCAUUGGCUUAUUUGAAACCAUUUCUCACAACAAUUCAUUGACAAGCUAUAUGUUACAACUUGACUAGUGUCAUGUUGUUUAUUCAGAUAAGAUCUGAGCACAAGUACAGUUACAGGUAAAGCCUUUAGCCAUAGCCUAUUUAUUUUAUUAUUGUCUUUUAGUUGCCUAUACAAUUUGGUUCAAAAAACUGGAACUCUUUGAGAUAACAAGUUCUUGUAUAAAUCUUCUUGCUAAGCAUCACUUCCCGUGGGCUCGAUAAGCCUAGGAUAUCUGGGGAAAUAAGCUACUUCUACAUCUAAAACCCGAUCAAAGAUAAUCAUAAAUUUUGAUUCCUUCCUUCUAAAAAGAUGGUUUAUUCACCCAACAAAUUAUGUUUAAUACAUCAUCGUAGGUGCCAGGUCUUAUUAGGUUUUCUUAUUUUGAAUGUCACUUCAACUCAAUGUUUAACUUUUUGGCAAAUAUAGAUAUUGGACCAUUUUCAACUCCAGUUUCAGUAGUGGUAAAAAUGAUAGCUCCUGGCCAUUGUUUUGAUUAGUGGGAAAUUUACAUGUGUGCUAGCCAUACUUAAUUAUCUUAUCCAGAGUUGGCAAUUUUUUACCAUGUGGAUUGUAUUAAUUUGCAUUGAUUUAGAAAACAAUUUCCUAAAUUUGACAUGAUUGACAUGAUUUUUCAUGUACAUAUAGAUAGUUGCUAGUGAAAUUUUAAUUUGCCAUGAGUUAGAGAACAAAUUUCGUAAAGUUUCCAACAAGUUCCCAUGAUUUUUAGGAGAAUAAAAUUCCUAAAUUUUCCAUGCGACUACUACAAAUUUUCCUAAAGUUGCAUGUCUUUCUUAGGAAAAUUGUUUUUCUGUAAUUUGACAUGUGAUAAGUACAAGCUUUUCCUUAAAAAAUCUACUUGUUUUUUUUGAGAAAACGCAGAAGACUUUUGCGUUUCAUUGUAUUGAAAAGAUAGAAAUUUGUUACAACCCUCCUAAGGGCAUGACCAAUGCCCCACGCUGGACAGCUUCCCCGCAGGUCCACGUCGGAGGCGAGCUGCCAUGGAAGAGAGAGGAGAAAAAGACGUUAGCUUGCAGAGCUCAGGUGCAGCUUGUAGAGGAGGUAGAAGCUUGAGGGAGAGAGAGAGUGUGGUCCAUGGACAAAUGUGGUAGUGCAUGCGCUGCUCUUGGGAGAGAGGGAGAGUGCGUGGAAGAAGAAAAGGUAAAGUCCAUGUGCUAUGGGGAGAAAAAGAUGGGAAGUGAGAAGAGGCUAGCUCACGUCACAAGGCUAUCGGUUAGAUUGAAUGAAAACUGAAUGGAGUCUCAUUUUUGUUGUGAUGAUGUGGAGGUCUUGGGGCAGCACUAGGUGAUGCCACCAUUGUUCAUGCCCUAAGAGGCCAAGUUCAAGAAAAAAUAGUAAAAGCUAGUGUAUAUCCCAGGUGGUUGGUAAGAUCACCCUCAAGCCACGGGCACCAGCGCGUGCCCGUUGAUCAGCUUCAUCCUUGAUCUUAGAGACCAGGGUAUGGACGAGAGGCAGGGCACCAUCGAAUAUGCAUUUGUUGCACUGCUUUCAGAUCAUCCACAUCGUCAGGAGUGCAAUGGAGGCAAGACCCUUGCACAUCUACAUAGGCGUGUUUUGCUUGGCGUGGAGCCACCAGUCCAUAUGAGUAUCUUCUUGGUUUGGUCUUGCGUGUGUCAUCCCGAGCCAAAGCUAGGACCUCAUGCCAAGUCUGUUUGGCGAAAGGGCACUCCGGGAGUAGGUGCCUCAUCGUCUCGGGAGCCUGUUCACACAACGGGCAUCGAGGCCGGUGUUGGAGGCCAUGUAUAGCGAGGCAAUCAGCAGUCCAACACAUAUCAAGGUUGGCCAGCCAGUGGAAAAAAUUCACACAUGUCGGCGCCCAGCUCUUCCAGAUGAACUUCCAGGAGAAGCAAGUUGUGGAUCCCUCGAAUGUGGCUAGGUAGCAGGAACGAACAAUGUAGGUGAUAGAUGCAGUCCACUUCAAAACAAGUUGGUCGGGGACAUCCGAUAGUAAGAAGUCUUCGACCGCCUGUCAGACUUGCACGUAUUGGCCAUUCUCGUUGAUGCCCAUUUGAAAGGAUCGAGAAGAGGUGUCUAGAGGGGGGGGGGGGGGGAAUAGACUCCUAACAAAGAAAAGUUACAGUUUUUAUUUUCUUCAAGUUAAGGUAGAGUUUUGGCACAAGUUUAAACAUCCACAAUACAUUCAAACAAGCAUGACAAGAGUAUAUGAGCAGCGGAAAGUAAAGCAUGCAAUUUGCAAGAAAGUAAAGGGAUGGGAUUGGAGUGUGCAAACGCAAUUGGAGACACAGAGAUUUUUGGCGUGGUUCCGAUAGGUGGUGCUAUCGUACAUCCACGUUGAUGGAGACUUCAACCCACGAAGGGUAAUGGUUGCGUGAGUCCAUGGAGGGCUCCACCCAUGAAGGGUCCACAAAGAAGCAACCUUGUCUAUCCCACCAUGGUCAUCGCCCACGAAGGACUUGCCUCACUAGGGUAGAUCUUCACGAAGUAGGCGAUCUCCUUGCCCGUACAAACUCCUUGGUUCAACUCCACAAUCUUGACGGAGGCUCCCAAGUGACACCUAACCAAUCUAGGAGACACCACUCUCCAAAAGGUAAUAGAUGGUGUGUUGAUGAUGAACUCCUUGCUCUUGUGCUUCAAAUGAUAGUCUCCCCAACACUCAACUCUCUCUCACAGAUUUGGAUUUGGUGGAAAGAUGAUUUGAGUGGAAAGCAACUUGGAGAAGGCUAGAGAUCAAGAUUCAUAUGGUUGGAAUGGAAUAUUUGAUCUCAACACAUGAGUAGGUGGUUCUUCCUUAGAAAAUGUAUGAUGGAAGUGUAGGCAUGUUCUGAUAGCUCUCUCCACAAAUGAAGAGUGGGUGGAGGGGUAUAUAUAGCCUCCACACAAAAUCUAACUGUUACACACAAAUCACCAAACUCGGUGGGACCGAAUAAAAAAACCCAGUCGGACCGAUUCAGUUCAUAAUGUGACCGUUAGGAAUUUCGGUGGGACCGAUAUGAUCAACUCGAUGGGACCGAUGUGCUAGGGUUAGGUUAAAACCUCAUCUUGGUUUGACCGGUUACACAAACUCGGUGAGACCGAUUUUGGUAAUAAGCAAAACAGAGAGUUGGUCAAGCAAACUUGGUGGGACUGAUUGCAUAUCUCGAUGGGACCGAAAUUAUUGCAAUAGGUAACAGAGAGUUUGCAAGCCCAUCUCAGUGAGACCGAGAUCCCAUCGGUGAGACCGAAUUGAUUAGGGUUUGUGGCAGUGGCUAUAUCAAGUGAACUCGGUGGCGUCAGAUGGAAAAUUUUGGUGGGGCCGAGUUUGACUUUUGGUUUGGGACAUAUGUGGAUAUGAGAAAGUGGUUGAGGGCUUUGAAGCA
rnacentral:lncRNA from 1 species